rfam:Picea glauca, whole genome shotgun sequence.
GGUUCCUUGGUCUAGUGUUCAGGACAUUGGACUCUAAAUCCAUUUUUGAAUGUUGUGUACAAAUCCAUGGUCUAGUGUACAUGACAUUGGAAUCUGAAUCCAAUAGCUUGAGUUGUAAUCUCGAUGGGACCU